GACGAACGCUGGCGGCAGGCCUAACACAUGCAAGUCGAGCGGAGCGGCGGACGGGUGAGUAAUGCCUAGGAAUCUGCCUGGUAGUGGGGGAUAACGUCCGGAAACGGGCGCUAAUACCGCAUACUAUCAGAUGAGCCUAGGUCGGAUUAGCUAGUUGGUGGGGUAAAGGCCUACCAAGGCGACGAUCCGUAACUGGUCUGAGAGGAUGAUCAGUCACACUGGGACUAAGACACGGUCCAGACUCCUCCGGGAGGCAGAAGUGGGGAAUGUGGGACAAGGGGCGAAAGCCGGGACAAGCCAUGCCGCGUGUGUGAAGAAGGUCUUCGGAUUGUAAAACACUUUAAGUUGGGAGGCGUUACCAAAAGAAAAAGCACCGGCUAACUUCGUGCCAGCAGCCGCGGUAAUAC
rnacentral:rRNA from 1 species